AGGGGGGGUUCUCCUGACUGAAGGCGCUUGUGACCUAACGCAGUGGUGCCCGGUCUGGGCCGUCCGCCUGUCUCCUUACCUCCACGUGGUUGGGGCUGGAUGGAGCCUUUGGAUUCUGACCGUGCUCAGGGUCAUGGGGAGGAGGCCAAGGCUGGGAGAGGUGGUGGUGUAGACCCAGCAGAGGCAGCAGUGGGAAGAACACCCACAAGAGACGGACCUGGGAGCCGUCCCUGAGAUUCAAGGGAACCUGCUGCUAUAGAGUCUCUGUGGCUCAGCUGUUUAAUUUUGCAGGUUCUGUCCAGGGAAUUCUCCCCCCGGCGAGUUGUUUUCCUCACCGAUGUUGAUGGAAUCUACGAUCGGCCGCCUGAUACCCCAGGUGCCAGGCUGGUGAGCUCCAUCUCCAUCCACCCCGACGGCAGCAUGGACCCCCCUGUGCUCACGUCCUCCCUGCCGCACGACACCACCGGCGGAGUCUCCCUGAAGUUACAGGCUGCCGUCAACAUCGUCCUCCAGAGCACAGGGGCCAUCCCAGUGCUGAUCUGCAAACUGGACAGCGACGCGGCCGACAGAGCCUGUUUGACUGGGGAGCUGGGAGCGGGCGAGGGCACCAGGCUGUCCCUGGCCGCUGCCUGAAGAAACGGGCUCUGGAGCGCCCUGUCAGGCAGGAGGAGUUGCCAUCGGCUUGUGCCGUUGGGCCCCAGCGUCUGCUCUGUGAUUUAUCCAUGUUCCAGGUGACUCCAAAGAAACAGCCCGCUGGCAGAGGGCAAUUCACAGACCCCUGUCUGCAUUUAAUGCACCUGUUCUCCAGCCCAGGUCUGACCCGAAUUGUGGCUCCCCCUCUGCUGAUGUUUCUUACGUCUGUCUUCACUUGAAGAGGCACAUAAAGCCAGGUAGCGAGCAGGCAGGCAGCCAGCUGGGAAAGAAGCUCAGAUGUUUCAGCUGGGAAUUAAUACACUAAUAUUAGCACAGCACUCGAGGCAGUAAAGUGCUAAGGAUUGUCGCUGUGCCAUAGAGGGGACUUUCAUGUGAAUUCUUGGGUGAUCCGAUUCCUUCCAGACCCUCGCCUCUGAAAUUCUAGUCUGCGGCUGAAAGCGGCCCUAGAAACAUUUCUAUAUGAAGCAUCUGUGCCAAUAGUUCAGACUUAAGUGCUUUAGGUUCCUGGGUUCAUAUUUGGGCCACUAAUUAAGUCGUUAAAGCUACUCACCGGUCUGCUUGUCAGUCUAGAUGGUGGUUGGCCCCCGAUAUGGGCAUAUGUGAGCGCUGCACACACAUCCUCCUGCCCCUUCGGUUGAGUAGAUCUUUGCAAAGACUAACUUUUAAGGAGAAAUAUUUAGAGUCCGUGGGCGUCUUGACAAAGUCCUGGCUGGGGUGAUUGAGUUGGGACUGGCCCUGUUUUGAGCAGGGGGUUGGGAUAGAUGACUUCUUUAAGUCCCUUCCAAACUCCGUCUUCCACGAUUCUUUGAUUUGUGGCCGUACUUUUUCAUAGCUGAAAAUUUUCACUCAGAGGCGGGUGAAACUCACGAAGAAUGGACUUCUUGCAAAAGAUGGCUGCCAUCUUCCACUUUUUUACUUGCUAAACUCAACCCAGACCCAACUAUGGAACGGCAAGCUUCAUUUCCAUAAUUAGCUGGACCCGAGAUGAAUUUUCGAUGACAAACGAAAUUGGGCAAUUAAAUAUUCUAAGAAAGGUAGCUCCUGUAAUGUGGCGAAUAGAGGUUUGCCACCGUGGUAGCUGGUUCUGUCCAAUGCUCUGCUAAUUUCUUUGUAGGUGAAUAGUCCUUUUUGAUCCACCCAUAAGGCCACAUUGUCCGUCCAAGAUCCAUCUGUUUCUGUAAACAUGCAUCAAGCACUGAGCCCUUAAAAUGUGCCCGACGAGCGGAACCUUUCUUUCCAUAAGAUCUCAGACUCACGCCUGCCGAGUUUGGUCACGUCCAAUACUCUUUUGCCGAGGAUGUGGCCUAUCCAUGAUGUGUUCAGAAUUCUUCCGUAACAACAUUAUUCAAACGA